GAUGAACGCUGGCGGCAGGCUUAAUACAUGCAAGUUGAACGGUAACAUUUUGUAGCAAUACAGAGAUGACGAGUAGCGUACGGGUGCGUAACACGUGUGCAACCUACCUUAUACAGGAACAAAACGUUGAGAAAUUAGCGCUAAUAUUCCAUAAUAUUAUUGAUAGGCAUCUAUUUAUAAUUAAAGCUCAGGUGGUAUAAGAUGGGCACGCGUUCCAUUAGCUAGUUGGUAAGGUAACGGCUUACCAAGGCAACGAUGGAUAGGGGUUCUGAGAGGAUACACCCCCACACUGGAACUGAGACACGGUCCAGACUCCUACGGGAGGCAGCAGUAAGGAAUAUUGGGCAAUGGAGGCAACUCUGACCCAGCCAUGCCGCGUGCAGGAAGACAGUCUUAUGGAUUGUAAACUGCUUUUAAUAGGGAAUAAUUUCGAUUAUGUAUAGUUGAUUGCAGGUACCUAUAGAAUCAGCAUCGGCUAACUCCGUGCCAGCAGCCCGCGGUAAUACGGAGGAUGCAAGCGUUGUCCGGAUUUAUUGGGUUUAAAGGG
rnacentral:rRNA from 1 species